GCGCCCGUAGCUCAGUUGGAUAGAGCACCGGCCUUCUAAGCCGGGGGUCCCGAGUUCGAAUCUCGGCGGGCGCGCCA
rnacentral:tRNA from 1 species